AUGCACAUGCAAGCAGUAACUGUACCUGUGACCACAAAUGUAGGAUGCAGCAAAAUCUCAUUUUCCCUUUGUGCUCCUGCAGUCUGGCAUAAUAAGGAAACUCAGAAAUAUUUCAUGGUGCUCUGUGAUACAAUAAAGAUCCCAGAUACCAUCAAAGCUGUUACAGGUCUCCAGGAAUAUCUCCAUUUCAGUCUCAGAUGUGAUGAUAUCUAAGCACUAACUGGGAACCUCUGUUCUCAUCAGUAUAUACCAUCAGGUGAAUUUUUUUUUCUUUUGGGUGAAAUUUGUUUGUUUGUUUCCCUUCCUUUUUUCACUUCCUGGGUCUUCAAAACAAUUCCUGCUCCAGCUGGGCACCAAGGACAAAUGACCAAAUCUCAGCCCAGGAGCACAAACCCCGUGGGCUGCAGAGAGAAAAACAAGCAGGGUGG
rnacentral:lncRNA from 1 species